rnacentral:lncRNA from 1 species
ACACUUCUUCACCUUUUCCCAAAAGUUCUUCAACACGCCAGACUGAUUUGAGUGAUACUCGAACACUUAGUAGUAUACCAUUGUAGGCCAACAAUUACUGGUCCUCUUCAAAAGACUUCUUUCCUUAAUAUCCUAACUGAGCUCGGUAACUAGAUAGCCAAUCUCAUUCUAGAUAAAAACAUACCGCUCUCUAACGGAAGUACUAUGGAAUGGGGAAGGCAUACCAUAACUUUAACUGGCAGCCCGUACUUCCAAAUAAGAACGGUAGACUUGAAUUCACAAAAGUGAAUCCUCUCUAACACUAUGACAUCGCUCAGGAACUACAACCAUGUGUUGUUCCCGAAUCAAACACAAUAUGGGAGGAGAAUUCCAUCCAUAGGCAAGGUCUCUUACGACACCUUGAUCACAAUUCACAUAAGUUUUUUUUUUUUUUAUUUCAAUCAUUCAUAAAAUUUUAAAAAUGCACACAACACACA